rnacentral:rRNA from 1 species
AGCGAACGCUGGCGGCAGGCCUAACACAUGCAAGUCGAACGGAUCCUUCGGGAUUAGUGGCGGACGGGUGAGUAACACGUGGGAACGUGCCCUUUGGUUCGGAACAACUUAGGGUAACUUGAGCUAAUACCGGAUGUGCCCCUCGGGGGCAAGAUUUAUCGCCAUUGGAACGGCCCGCGUCUGAUUAGCUAGUUGGUGAGGUAAGGGCCCACCAAGGCGACGAUCAGUAGCUGGUCUGAGAGGAUGAUCAGCCACACUGGGACUGAGACACGGCCCAGACUCCUACGGGAGGCAGCAGUGGGGAAUCUUGCGCAAUGGGCGAAAGCCUGACGCAGCCAUGCCGCGUGAAUGAUGAAGGUCUUAGGAUUGUAAAAUUCUUUCAGCGGGGACGAUAAUGACGGUACCCGCAGAAGAAGCCCCGGCUAACUUCGUG